GCGUUAUCCGGAUUCACUGGGUUUAAAGGGUGCGUAGGCGGGCAGGUAAGUCCGUGGUGAAAUCUCUGAGCUUAACUCAGAAACUGCCAUGGAUACUGUUUGUCUUGAAUAUUGUAGAGGUAAGUGGAAUAUGUCAUGUAGCGGUGAAAUGCGUAGAUAUGACAUAGAACACCAAUUGCGAAGGCAGCUUCCUGGACAGUUAUUGACGCUGAGGCACGAAAGCGUG
rnacentral:rRNA from 1 species